ACGGCGGACGGGUGAGUAACGCGUGGGAAUCUGCCCAGUAUGGGGGACAACAGCCGGAAACGGCUGCUAAUACCGCAUACGCCCUACGGGGGAAAGGGGGGGAUCUUCGGACCUCUCGCUAUUGGAUGAGCCCGCGUCGGAUUAGCUAGUUGGUAGGGUAAAGGCCUACCAAGGCUACGAUCCGUAACUGGUCUGAGAGGAUGAUCAGUCACACUGGAACUGAGACACGGUCCAG
rnacentral:rRNA from 1 species